rnacentral:rRNA from 1 species
AACGAACGCUGGCGGCGCGUCUUAAGCAUGCAAGUCGAACGGCAAGAUGCCUUCGGGUAUCCUAGAGUGGCGGACUGGUGAGUAACGCGUGGAUGACGUACCCUCGUGACGGGGAUAGCCGGUAGAAAUACCGGGUAAUACCGGAUAAGGUCUCACGGAAUAAAGGCGUGAGAGGAAAGCAGCGUAUGCUGCGCAGGAGGAACGGUCUGCGGCCUAUCAGCUGGUUGGCAGGGUAAAGGCCUACCAAGGCGACGACGGGUAUCCGGCCUGAGAGGGUGGACGGACACAUUGGGACUGAGAUACGGCCCAGACUCCUACGGGAGGCAGCAGCUAAGAAUAUUCCGCAAUGGGGGGAACCCUGACGGAGCGACGCCGCGUGGACGAUGAAGGUCGGAAGAUUGUAAAGUCCUUUUAUACAUGAAGAAGAAGUUGUACAGGAAAUGGUAUGAUGGUGACGGUAGUGUAUGAAUAAGCACCGGCUAAUUACGUGC